rnacentral:lncRNA from 1 species
GUGGAGCAUUGCACGCCAAAGGCAGUUGGCCCUGACACGUGCCUAAGGGAUCGAUGGGGACGGCUGACAAAUGAAGCGACCCUUCGUGGUGCGCGGAUGUCGUGAGAUUAGGUUCGCCAUGCAUGGUUAAUAAAUUCGAAUCGAUUCGUCUGCCUCUCAUAGUUUGGGACUACUUGAUCGCUAUUCUGCACUGAGUAAAGAUGGAACAUGAUGAUGAUAUUAAUCUUGAUGCCUGUUCUUUAAUUGCUUGGACAUCAUGCUUGUUUAGUAUAAGUUGCUAAUCUAGACUUGAUAAAGAACGUAGAACAUGAGCUAAAAUGUUGAAAGUAAGGACUGACUUUAGAUGCUUUUGGCAAAGAAAACCCCAGAGUCAGAAGGCCUUGCAUGUCUAGGUUUUGGUCGUGUCUUCCCCCGACGGGUCAGUCUUGCUGAGUACUAGUUCCUCAGCCUUGUUUUGGCUAAUCUUUUUCAGGUAAUGUCAAUAGUUUGGUUGCUGGUACCACUUGGCCGACCCAGCUUCCUCCAGGCUGGACAGUCGAGUGGGAUCCCUCCUCGGAUGGCGAAGGAAGGAAUUUUUGAUGUCAUGAUCGGCUCCGUCGUGAUGUCAUGUAUCGACGUUUAGCUUCCGCUGGUUUUAUUUGACUUUCGAACCUUGCAAUUUCGAUCUGAAUUUUGAAAACUCUGAUGUAAUAAAAUGUUGAACUGGUUGUCGUGAUGGAAUGUUGUAACCUCUGUGCUACUCACCUUCGCGUGAGCUAUGCUUCUCGAUCCUGUUUAUGUGGUUAAUCGGAUGAAAUCCGACGGUCGACCAAGUUGACUUGCUUAAAGUGCAUAAUCGCGUGUCAAGCGACUUCAAUGUAUUUUAGUCAGGUUAAUUUAGGCGGUUCUGCCAGAGCUGGCAUCAGAGCUCGAAGCACGGUACGGAGAACAACAAACCUUAAAACACUUUUUCUGAUUAAAAUUUGCAAGAAGUAAAUCGAGAAAUUCGUAAGUUCGUUAAGGAUGAGUUUAGUUCGAGGAGCCCUAGGGGAUUUUGGGGUUGUUUUAAGGUGGUUAAUAGUUAUUGAUUAUCUUCUAACUUCCAGCACUUGUUGCCACGUCUAUCAUACUUGUGCUGAAUCCGCAUCGCGAGUAUGCGAAGGGUGAUGGGAAUUCGAUUCCAACGAGCCUAUCAUCACGGUUGUUUCGCCCACGUCUAUUAUACGUGCGCAGGUUCCGUAUGUUAAUGCAUGCGAAGGAUGGUAUGGUUCGAUUCCAACGAGCCUAUCAUCACGGUUGUUCGCCCACGUUUAUUAUACGUGUGCAUGAUUCCACAUCACGAGAAUGCGAAGGGUUAUAGGACUCCAUUCGAAGGAACCUAUUUCCACGGUUGUUGCGCUGUCCAUGCAGCGUUAAACGCAUGGGUGCCGUUUCUAUAGUGAACGGUAAUGAUUGUGGACGCUUUCAUGAGUGCUGGCACAGAAGGUUCAAGCUGUGUUGUGUUUUUCUGCAGGUACACUAACAACGUUGCGUUCGAAGCGAUGCCUAGUAACUCGACUAGUUUUAUAGUGAGAGCCGUAUUGUUACCUUGCCACCGGCACUAACCACGUAAGUCCAAAGAUUUUUAGCAAUUAUUUUUGGUUCAGAGGAUGACUAGGACGUGCAUGCAUUAAGAAAUAAAAAUCGCAACCUAAGGAAAUAAAAACUAAACUCGAGUGCGUCGUAAAAGAAAUGCACCGCGUUAAGGAUUGUCUAGCUGUCCUUUUUUCCGCCAUGCACGGUAAAAUGAAUCUUUUAGGUGGAUCCGCAUGAUAACUCCAGAAACUUUAUAUAAGAAAGUUGUGUUAAAUCUCCCAAGUAAACCGCUGAAAAUUUUUCACAAGGUACUACCAUUUGGGUUGAGAGUUGUGAUCAGUUUUGUGACCCCCUGUUGGCUGUUAGCCCUAAGUGCACACCAGCGGAGUUUCUGCUGUUUCGACCACCUUAAGGACCUUUUCUGCAAGGAGUCCUUUAAGCAAAGUUUUUCAGAACUUAUUAAAGGACUUACUGGUAGAGUUUCAGCUUUGUUAAAUCUCUGGUUUGGAAGUUAUGUUCAGUUUAUCUUGACUCGGUCUGAAAAAUUCCAGCAGGUACACUUAAUGGGAAUCUGAGAUUAUCACCUUGUUAGGUUCUGUUCUAGCCUUACCUUUGAAUACCAAACUUUCUACACACUAUCUAAAGAACAUGCUGGUAAAAUUUGAGAAGUUUUGGAGGAAUACUUGCUGAGUUAUGAGCUUUUCUCUAACUGCCAGAAAUCUUUUUGAUUUCUAAGUGUUAACUCCGUUUCUCACUUGACCUUUGGUUACAGAUGGCGCAGCCCGUGCACGUUGCAGUCGGUACGGAUGGCACCACCUACUCAUGGUGCCUUCACUACGAGGGUUUUCCAGCUGUGUUGUGGGACACCCUACGCUCUUUCAGGUACUAGUCGCCGCCAGUCUAUGCGGGACGUGCGUACCAGGACCACGGGAUUCCGUGGAGCCGCAUGCACGUGCGGGUACCCCCGCCUCCGGAUCAGCCACAGUGGCCGCUGUUGGAGGUGGUGGCCGAGGGACACACACUCCACGACACCUGGGAGUUUGCAGCCUUGCAGACCUUGACACAGUUCUGCCGGGCACAUCCUCUUGAGAUCGUGCUAGACCUGAUUGGGUUGUUCCCUGCCCGGGAUACGAGGGACCCGGACUGGUUGGAUCGUAUGGAGCAUAUGGACUUGCUCGAGCUUAUGGAUCCAUAGCGCAUGAUUUUUGUUUCAACUCGUUGCCUGAACGUGUUCUACAGGAUGGUUGAGCUGCAGAGCCGAGCGAUGGCUACGGUGAUCGGGAUGGCAGUGGCCAACCAGGUUGCCUUGUCUACCGUGCAGAGUGGCAUGGUGGACCAGUUGCUCGAGCUGGUAUAGAAGGAUGUCCAGAUUGCUGAGAUGCAGGACAAGAUUACUCGUUUGGAGGAGGAGAUUGUGGAUAUGGAGCACGGUAUGGAGAUCUUCGCUGACCAGUUCUAUGAUGUGAACAUGGAGCUGGCGAACGCCAAUGAGCACCUGCAGGAGCAUCACGAUGAGCUUAAUGCCAUCCACGCCUUAGAGCUGCAGCAGGAUGAGCUGAUGGCCCAGGAGGAGGAGCCCGAGGAGAUUGAAGGCUUUUCGAGCAUGGACUAUGAGGAUGCCUCUCCGCAGCCUCCAGUUGGUGAUGCUCACUCUCCGGUCCUUAGCUUUGCCUCCAUGGGCAACCUUGACGACUUCUAGUUAUGUCGACCUGGGUUGAGCGGUUCUCUUUUGUUUUUACUCCUUGGCGACCUAUAUUUUGGUCAGUGAUGUAAUAGGUUAGCUUGAGUUGAGUAUUUGAGUAUUAGAAAAACUGAUUCUAUGUAGGAUUGUCAUUGCUACCUCUGGUGUAAUGUCUGAAAAUUAUGGCAGAAUUACAGUGACUGUUUCUCCUCAGUUUUACCCUUGUCUCCACUCGUUUUUGAGCCAAAGUUCGUAUACCAAAGUUGUGCGAAAACUUCCAUCGUAGCUACUCGUAAAUUUUCAGCUCCUUCGGAUCUGUCAAACGCCCGCUAGAGCCAAAAUUCCACGGCUCAGCUUGCUGAAAAUCAGCUGGACAGCAACUUACUAGAACAUCUAAACGACCUCUUUCCCUUCCUUUUCGGUCAACAAGCGUAACAUGAAAGUGGUUGUGAACAACACAUGCUAACCCUCGCUUAAGGAUGAGAACCAUGUGCCCUUCAAGGAAGAGAUAUACAAGUUGAUUGUUGCUUUUGCACCAUCGGCAAGACUAGCAUUUAUCCUUUCAGCACAUAAUGUUUUCUUAUGGUUAAGCAAGAUUCUGGGGCUAUGUGACUAAUGGAAAGGUGAAUCUUGCAGAUGGCGCAUCACACACGCUUUGGCUCCAUUCCCAGUGGCAGCGAUGUGCCUCCCCCACCUCCGCCUCCGACCACCCUCGAGUCGAUCUUGGCAGCCCAGACCGAGCUGCUGAGGCAUAUCGCUCAGGGGCAGCAGCAGCAGCCCCAGGGAGGAAGGGCCCAUCAACAGCCACAUGUUGCUCGCUACGAAGAUUUUCUGGGGACCCAGCCUCCUCUGUUUCACAAGACGGAGGACCCGCUUGAUGCCGAUGCUUGGAUCCGCGCUAUCGAGUCCAAGUUCUCCCUUCUCACCGCCUAUUGCCCGGAUGAGAACAAGGUUCGGUUCGCCGCGCAACAGUUGCGUGGUUCUGCUCUCCUGUGGUGGGAACACUACCACGCCAUGCAGCUGGCCGACCACGUCGUCGGCUGGGAGGAAUUCAAGACAGCGUUCAGGGGCCAUCACAUCCCUGAGGGUCUUCUGGAGUGCAAGCUCAACGAGUUCCUAGCUCUCACCCAGGGAGGCCGCGAUGUCCUGCACUAUGCGUAGGCUUUCAAUGACCUGUGUAGCUAUGCAGGCUAUCAUGCGGACUCCGAUGAGAAGAAGAGGAACCGCUUCCGUAGAGGCUUGAGUUUGGAGCUCAAGGAAAGGCUGAAUCCCAUCAAGGUGGAUUUCUACAACGAACUGGUGAACCUGGCAAUUUCCCACAAAGAUUGCAUGAGGGCCCCCAAGGCCAACAUGAAGAGGAAGGCCCCGAUGCCGGCACCCGGCCCGCCUGUCCAGAAGUACAAAAUGGUUCCCCCACAAGCGCCUCGCAGGCCCGCACAGCCUGGGAGAUGGGUUGCUCGACCUCCACUGCAGGCAGCACCUCGUUUUCCCGGAUUCCAGCCGCAAGGGCCUCGACCUGCUCUCCCGAUGCCGCUGCACCUAGUCACUGGAAACCACUGUUUCCCCUGCGGGAACCCAGGACACUUCACCAAGGACUGCCCCCGCAACAAGACUCAACGACCCGGUCAGGGCAACGCACUGAGCAACAAGGGGAAGAAGCCGAAGGUUUAGGUCCGACAAGGCCGGCUGAACUUCACCACCCUUGCUGAACUUCCACAGGGCGCACCAGUGAUGACGGGUACCUUUUCUAUCUGUGACCAACCCAUCCUUAUUCUGUUUGAUUCAGGAGCAUCUCAUAGUUUCAUUGGGACUAGAAUCAGUGCUAAGUGUGGGUUAGAUUUCUGUCACACCAAAGGUACCUACAUAAUCUCUACCCCAGGUGGAAAGGUAGCUUCACACCAAAUGAGCCGCAGAGUACCUAUCCAGUUAGGGAGAACCCUUCUUAAGGAAGACCUGCUUACCCUUGGGAUAGAAGGAAUAGAUGUUAUCUUGGGUAUGGAUUGGAUGACCCGACACCAAGUGACCCUAGAUGUCCCUGCCAGGGCAAUCCAUAUAAAUUCACCCAAGUAUGGUAGCUCAACUAUACACUUACCUCCCCGAGAGUGCCAAACUUCUUGUGCCUAUCCCGUGUCUAAAGCCCGGUUGGAAGAUAUCCCAGUAGUGUGCGAGUAUCCGGAUAUGUUUCCAGAUGAUUUGCCGGGUAUGCCGCCUGAGAGAGAUAUCGAGUUUGCCAUUGAGUUGCAACCAGGGACUGCCACAAUUUCAAAGAGACUAUACCGGAUGCCACCAGCCGAACUGGCAGAAAUCAAAACUCAGUUGCAUGAUUUGUUGGAAAAGGGUUUUAUUCGCCCAAGUACAUCACCUUGGGGUUGCCCCGCCUUGUUUGUGAAAAAGAAGGACGAUAGUCUGCGUAUGUGUGUGGACUACCGACCUCUCAAUGCGGUGACGAUAAAGAACAAGUACCCACUACCCCGCAUUGAUGUUCUGUUCGAUCAAUUAGCUGGAGCUAGAGUGUUUUCCAAAAUUGACCUCCGUUCUGGCUACCACCAAAUCAAGAUCCGCCCGUGCGACAUUCCAAAGACUGCCUUUUCUACACGAUAUGGACUCUACGAGUACUUAGUCAUGUCAUUUGGGCUUACUAAUGCACCGGCUUAUUUCAUGUAUCUCAUGAAUUCGGUGUUUAUGCCCGAACUCGACAAAUUCGUUGUGGUAUUCAUUGACGAUAUCUUGGUGUACUCGAAGAAUGAGGAAGAACAUGCAGAGCACCUACAUACUGUACUCCAACGCUUAAGAGACCACCAACUCUAUGCCAAAUUCUCUAAGUGUGACUUUUGGCUGGACAGUGUUAAAUUUUUGGGACACACCAUAUCCAGAGACGGUAUAGCAGUAGACCCAAGCAAAGUGCAAGAAGUAAUGGACUGGAAGCCGCCCACGUCAGUCCAUAAGAUUCGAAGUUUUCUUGGUUUAGCCGGUUACUACCGUCGCUUCAUCCCUGACUUCUCAAAAAUAGCUAAGCCAAUGACGGAACUGCUGAAGAAAGGAAGUAAGUUUGUGUGAUGCGAAGAAGCUUUCCACACCUUGAGACAAUUAUUGACUUCUGCACCAGUUUUAGCUCAGCUCGACACCACUAGGCCAUUUGACGUGUAUUGCGAUGCCUCUAGCACUGGACUUGGUUGUGUUCUUAUGCAAGACAACCGAGUCAUUGCCUAUGCCUCGCGAGUGUUACGGCCACAUGAGUUGAAUUACCCUACUCAUGAUCUCGAGUUGGCAGCAGUCGUUCAUGCUCUGAAAAUAUGGAGGCAUUAUCUCAUGGGAACCCAAUGCAACAUCUAUACAGAUCACAAGAGUCUUAAGUAUAUAUUCACUCAAGCAGACCUCAACAUGCGUCAAAGGAGAUGGCUAGAAUUAAUCAAGGAUUAUGACCUAGAAGUGCUUUAUCACCCAGGUAAAGCCAACGUAGUUGCAGAUGCCCUCAGUCGCAAGAUUCAUUGUAACUGCUUAUCAGCGGUUAAUUAUGCCGAGACCCUGUGUCACGAAAUGGCUAAGCUCAACUUGGAAAUUGUUCCACACGGCACCUUAAGUCAUAUUUCUCUGGAGCCCACCCUGCUUGAUCAAAUAAUUCUAGCACAGCUAGAGGACAAAGAGAUAAACCUUAUCAAAGGGAAAGUUGCACAGGAGGAUAAGGGAUAUAAAUGUUUCCAACAGGAUUGGAAAGGAGUGGUACAUUAUGAAGCUCGACUUGUAGUUCCAAAUGAUCCCGAGCUUAAGAAACAAAUUCUGGACGAAGCACACCUUUCCAAGUUCUCGAUUCACCCCGGUAGUACCAAGAUGUAUCACGACCUCCGACAAAAUUUCUGGUGGAGUGGGAUGAAACCCGACAUUGCACGAUAUGUUUCAGAGUGUGAUACCUGUCAGCGAGUUAAGGCAAGCCACUUGAGGGUAGCUGGCCCCUUGCAACCGCUGCCUAUUCCCUCGUGGAAAUGGGAAGACAUAAGCAUGGACUUUAUAGUCGGACUACCCAAUACCUCCCGCAAGCAUGACUCCAUAUGGGUUAUAGUAGACCGACUAACCAAAAUGGCACAUUUCCUUCCAGUACACACCACUCACACCAUACAGAAAUAUGCAGAACUGUACCUUGAUUACAUUGUUUCCUUGCAUGGUGUACCUAAAACGAUCAUCUCUGAUCGAGGUAGUCAGUUUGUAGCAUGCUUUUAGGAGUAGUUGCAGUUUUCACUUGGCACUAAAUUGAUCCGUAGUUCCACAUAUCAUUCUCAGAACGAUGGGCAAACUGAAAGGGUUAAUCAGAUUUUGGAAGAUAUGUUACGCGCCUGUGCUAUUCAUUAUGACAAGAACUGGGACAAGUGUUUGCCAUUAGCAGAAUUCUCCUACAACAAUAGUUACCAAGCUAGCCUGAAAAUGGCACCUUUCGAGGCCUUGUAUGGACGUAGAUGCCGAACCCCGCUGAGCUGGUCGCAACUCGGAGAGCAAACGGUGUAUGGACCUGACCUGGUCAUGGAGGCCGAAGAAAAAGUGAGAGUUAUCCACGAAAAUCUCAAGGCCGCCCAAUCUCGACAGAAGAGCUAUUCCGAUCAAAGAAGAAGACCCAUCCAAUUUAAGGUUGGGGAUUUUGUAUACCUACGGGUUUCACCGACCAAAGGCGUACAACAUUUUGGAGUAAAGGGAAUGUUAGCUCCGUGCUAUAUUGGUCCCUAUGAGAUCGUGGAGGAGUGUGGACCCGUAGCGUACCGAGUUAAACUUCCAGAGAAGAUUGCAGCGAUACACGAUGUUUUCCAUGUCUCGCAACUCAAGAAGUGCAUCGGGAUUCCAACUGAAAUCAUUGCCCCGGAAGAAUUGGAGAUCGAACCCGAUUUAUCGUAUAACGAGUAUCCAGUUAAGAUCCUCGAUCGGAAGGAAAGACAUACUCAUCGGCAAAUGGUCAAGAUGUACAAAAUUCAGUGGAGUAACCAUACGGAAGACGAAGCGACAUGGGAGACGGAAGAGUAUCUCAACGCUAACUUCCGCGGUUUUCUUUUCGAUCAGGGAGGUACGUUGCACCAACCACACUAGUUCCUUCUGCACUUGAAUCUCGGGGCGAGAUACCCUUAAGGGGGGUAGGCUGUAACAACUCUACCUAAAUUAAGUGCUUUUAACUAUAAACCAGUGACAAAUCCCUAAUUAAAAAAGUGAAAUGACCUUUAUAACCCUAAGAAGCUCUUUUUGGAGUUUUGAAUAAAGCUUGAAAUUUUAUAUGCAAACUUGAGGUUCUGCCCAUAUAAGAGUUGUAAAACUUUUUAAUUCAAACAACUUUUGUUAAAGACACUUUGACUAAUUCGGAGUGGAAAGAAGUCAAAAACAGCAAUCCAAAACCUGUUUACUAAAGGACCCUAAAAAUCUCUUAAGUCCUGGAAUUUGAGUUUUUCCUUCAUCUUUGCAAGCUUUUAUCUCACAAUUCCUAUCUAAACUCAAGUGAGGGCCUGAAUGAAAGUUGAAGUACCUCGAGUGUGUUCCAACUUUGUUACACUUACCCAGAUCCAAAUCGGGCCCGAACCUGUUCAAAACCCCGGUCAAAGUGAGGUAAAACAGUCAACUCACCCCUGAUGCCUUAAAAUCCUAAGUCUGGAAUUCCAGAUUUUUGGCUAACUUUGGCAUGGAAUAUCUUCAAAUCCUUUCACAAUCUAAACCGACACCUCAACCAAAGUUUGAAGAACAUCCAGAGUUGGGCAAGUUUGUUUAAAAGAGUUUUGGAAGUUGUGUUGGAAAAUCCGGAGAAAGAUCUCCCCAAAGCUGGUCGGGCUGGCUGCCCGAAGGGAGCCUCGACGCCCACGCGCCAGAGCAUGUUCACUCGUGCGCCGCGCGCCGUGCGCCACCGGCCACCGGUACCGCGCCGGCGUCCUAUCACCAGCGCGACAGCGACAGGACGAGAGCCACGGCGCCCAACCCGCGCCCGCGACAGGACGGAGCGAACGCCGGGCUAGCCAACCGCCGGCCGCACGUAUGUCGCCUUCCGCCUGCCACGGCUCUGCUCCGCCAACCCCAUCCCGCCCGUCCGUCGGGAAAGCUGCCACGCCCACGACGUCCCGCGCCUCCGCCUGCUCGCCCAACCCCCACGGUAGCCCUCCACCUCACCCGCCCGACAGACCGGAAGCCCCAGACGCACGCUGCCCAAGGCCAAUCACCGCCGCCGACCACCCGGAGCUCCACCUCCUCUACCCAAUGGCGCCGCUGGCCAAUGGCCGCCUUGCCCACGCACUCGCUCGCCCGCACCCGUGCCACCGUUUUCCCCUCUGCGCCGCCGCUGAGCUUCCGUGGAGCUCACCCCUUUGCGCCACCCCACCCUCCGGCGACUUCGCCGCCACACACUUGAGGAAGUUCCCCUCUUCGCUCAAGCCGCUUCUCCCAACCCACCAGCCGCCUGUACCUUCGCGCGGUACUACAGCUUGCUUGUGUCCACAAGAAGUACUGCCGCCGCCUAAGCACCGUCGAAGCACCGCCGCCGCCGGAGCACCGUCGAAGUCUCGCCGCCGUCGGAGCCUUAGUGCGUACGACCUUCCUCCCAAGUCUAUUUCUGCUCGACCCCAAGGCUUCAUCGGUAGACCUGGAGGUAAGCCACCGACCCCUUUUGUUUCGUCUCGACCCACCCCUUUUGUUUCAUCUUGCCCGACCCCUUUUGUUUCGUCUCGACCGAUCCCUUUUGUUUCGUCUCGCCUGACCCCUUUUGUUUUGGUUCGCCCGACCCCUCUCUGUUUGGUUCGACCGACCCCUUUUCGUUCGGUUCGCCCGACCCCUCUCUGUUCGGUUCGACCGACCCCUUUUCGUUCGGUUCGCCCGACCCCUCUCUGUUCGGUUCGCCUGACCCCUUUUCGUUCGGUUCUCCCAACCUCUUUCUGUUCGUCUCGCCCGACCCCUUUAUCCUUUCGUCUCGCCCGACCGUGUCAGUUCGCUGACCCUUUCUCCGCCUCGCCCAAGGGCUCGGCUGCAUCUUUUCCUUUGACCCGAGGGUAUCGGUGAAAUUUUUCGGGGAUUUCUCUAUGUUGAGUCUAAGGACCUCGGUACAGUUUUUCCUUAAAUCUGAGGGUCAGACCAUAAGUUUCUCCAAAUCCGACCCUUUUAUCCUGUUCUCCACCAACUGAAGUUGGACUCCCCCACCUUUCCUAUAGCUUUGCUACAAGUGUCUGAGUUAAAACGUGCAAGUGUGUUGAAAUAACCAUCUAAAAUGUUUAACCCCUGCAUUGCAUUUCCGUGUAGAGUUGAAUCUCGCCGACGGAACUUACGAGCUCCACCCGGCACCGGAAGAAGACCCUGCUGAGGAGCUUCACCCCUUCGAAGGCGAGCCCGAACCGGAGCAAGACCCCGAGGACCUACUAAGUUUUCCUGAAGGCAAGCCCCGAUGCAUGAAUUCCCUGUUUUACUUUUAUGCCACUUAUUGAUGCUUAUGAUUGUGCAUUUACGUUGGUAGGAGUUGAUUGGAACCGUAGAUGCAUGAACUUAGUACCUUGAUUUGAAUACUAGUUGCUAAAGUCGAGUAGUUGCAAUGCUUAAUAGGUCCCGAUAAAAGUCGAGUGAUUUCCUGUCACUCGUGAGUUAUAGGAGUUGAAUGUUUCCGUUGUGUCGCAACUAUAAGGAUGACGGACGGGGUCAGGCUUAUGUUUGAUACUUGGUGGAUUGCCCCGUCUGUCUAAAUGAAAAUGGAUUAAGGUCGAAACGUGUUGCCGUUCGUGAUCAAGUGUUUGAAAGUACUAAUCUCAUACCUAGUAUGGGAUGGGGAAGCCUAGUACCUGAUUGAACUGGGGCGUGGCAUACCCUCCGGCUGUCCUUGGAACGUCGUUCCCAUGGUGCAUCAUGUGGGUGCAAGUGCGGUCAUAGUGCAGUAAUAGGCCGGGACUGUGGAGCAUUGCACGCCAAAGGCAGUUGGCCCUGACACGUGCCUAAGGGAUCGAUGGGGACGGCUAACGAAUGAAGCGACCCUUCGUGGUGCGCGGAUAUCGUGAGAUUAGGUUCGCCAUGCAUGGUUAAUAAAUUUGAAUCGAUUCGUCUGCCUCUCACAGUUUGGGACUACUUGAUCGCUAUUCUGCACUGAGUAAAGAUGGAACAUGAUGAUGAUAUUAAUCUUGAUGCUUGUUCUUUAAUUGCUUGGA